rnacentral:rRNA from 1 species
AUACUUAGUGGCAGACGGGUGAGUAACAUGUAGGUAUCUGCCCUUUGGCCUGGAAUAACACGAGGAAACUUGUGCUAAUACUGGAUAAGUCUUUACGGAGAAAGCUUUAUGCACCAUUGGAUGAGCCUGCACUUGAUUAGUUUGUUGGUAGGGUAAUGGCCUACCAAGACUUUGAUCAAUAGCUGAUUUGAGAGGAUGAUCAGCCACAUUGGGACUGAGACACGGCCCAAACUCCUACGGGAGGCAGCAGUGGGGAAUCUUGCACAAUGGAGGAAACUCUGAUGCAGCGAUGCCGCGUGAGUGAAGAAGGCCUUUGGGUUGUAAAGCUCUUUCGUCGGGGAAGAAAAUGACUGUACCCGAAUAAGAAGGUCCGGCUAACUUCGUGCCAGCAGCCGCGGUAAUACGAAGGGACCUAGCGUAGUUCGGAAUUACUGGGCUUAAAGAGUUCGUAGGUGGUUGAAAAAGUUGGUGGUGAAAUCCCAGAGCUUAACUCUGGAACUGCCAUCAAAACUUUUCAGCUAGAGUUUGAUAGAGGAAAGCAGAAUUUCUAGUGUAGAGGUGAAAUUCGUAGAUAUUAGAAAGAAUACCAAUUGCGAAGGCAGCUUUCUGGAUCAUUACUGACACUGAGGAACGAAAGCAUGGGUAGCGAAGAGGAUUAGAUACCCUCGUAGUCCAUGCCGUAAACGAUGUGUGUUAGACGUUGGAAAUUUAUUUUCAGUGUCGCAGCGAAAGCGAUAAACACACCGCCUGGGGAGUACGACCGCAAGGUUAAAACUCAAAUGAAUUGACGGGGACCCGCACAAGUAGUGGAGCAUGUGGUUUAAUUCGAAGAUACGCGCAGAACCUUACCAACACUUGACAUGUUCGUCGCGACUUUAAGAGAUUAA